GCCGAAGUGGCGGAAUUGGCAGACGCGCUACGUUCAGGGCGUAGUGGGCAUGCGCCCGUGGGAGUUCGACUCUCCCCUUCGGCACCG
rnacentral:tRNA from 1 species